rnacentral:rRNA from 1 species
GAUGAACGCUGGCGGCGUGCCUAACACAUGCAAGUCGAGCGAUUUACUUCAGUAAAGAGCGGCGGACGGGUGAGUAACGCGUGGGUAACCUGCCCUGUACACACGGACAACAUACCGAAAGGUAUGCUAAUACGAGAUAAUAUACUUUUAUCGCAUGGUAGAAGUAUCAAAGCUUUUGCGGUACAGGAUGGACCCGCGUCUGAUUAGCUAGUUGGUAAGGUAACGGCUUACCAAGGCAACGAUCAGUAGCCGACCUGAGAGGGUGAUCGGCCACAUUGGAACUGAGACACGGUCCAAACUCCUACGGGAGGCAGCAGUGGGGAAUAUUGCACAAUGGGCGAAAGCCUGAUGCAGCAACGCCGCGUGAGCGAUGAAGGCCUUCGGGUCGUAAAGCUCUGUCCUCAAGGAAGAUAAUGACGGUACUUGAGGAGGAAGCCCCGGCUAACUACGUGCCAGCAGCCGCGGUAA